rnacentral:rRNA from 1 species
GACGUAGGGCGCGAGCGUUGUCCGGAUUUAUUGGGCGUAAAGAGCUCGUAGGCGGCUUGUCGCGUCGAAUGUGAAAACUCGGGGCUCAACCCCGCGCUUGCAUUCGAUACGGGCAGGCUCGAGUUCGGUAGGGGAGACUGGAAUUCCUGGUGUAGCGGUGAAAUGCGCAGAUAUCAAGGAGGAACACCCGGUGGCGAAGGCGGGUCUCUGGGCCGAUGACUGACACUGAGAAGCGAAAGCGUGGGGAGCGAACAGGA